rnacentral:sRNA from 1 species
UGAUUCAGAAGUCUUGGAUCCUGGGGU